UGGGGAAUAUUGGACAAUGGGCGCAAGCCUGAUCCAGCCAUGCCGCGUGAGUGAUGAAGGCCCUAGGGUUGUAAAGCUCUUUCACCGGUGAAGAUAAUGACGGUAACCGGAGAAGAAGCCCCGGCUAACUUCGUGCCAGCAGCCGCGGUAAUACGAAGGGGGCUAGCGUUGUUCGGAUUUACUGGGCGUAAAGCGCACGUAGGCGGACUAUUAAGUCAGGGGUGAAAUCCCGGGGCUCAACCCCGGAACUGCCUUUGAUACUGGUAGUCUUGAGUUCGAGAGAGGUGAGUGGAAUUCCGAGUGUAGAGGUGAAAUUCGUAGAUAUUCGGAGGAACACCAGUGGCGAAGGCGGCUCACUGGCUCGAUACUGACGCUGGGGUGCGAAAGCGUGGGGAGCAAACAGG
rnacentral:rRNA from 1 species